CCUACGGGUGGCAGCAGUGGGGAAUAUUGGGCAAUGGGCGCAAGCCUGACCCAGCAAUGCCGCGUGAAGGAAGAAGGCUUUCGGGUGGUAAACUUCGUUGACAGGGGAAGAGCAGAAGACGGUACCCUGAAAACAAGCCACGGCUAACUACGUGACAGCAGCCGCGGUAAUACGUAGGGGGCAAGCGGUGUCCGGAUUUACUGGGUGUAAAGGGCGUGUAGCCGGGAAGUCAAGUCAGAUGUGAAAUCUGGAGGCUCAACCUCCCAAGUGCAUUUGAAACUGUUUUUCUUGAGUACUGGAGAGGCCGUCGGACUUCCUUGUGUAGCGGUGAACUGCGUAGCUAUUAGGAGGCACACCAGUGGCGAAGGCGGUCUGCUGGACCGCAACUGACGGUGAGGCGCGAACGCGUGGGGAGCAAACAGGAUUAGCUACCCCUGUAGUC
rnacentral:rRNA from 1 species